rnacentral:rRNA from 1 species
AGCAGCCGCGGUAAUUCCAGCUCCAAUAGCGUAUAUUAAAGUUGUUGCAGUUAAAAAGCUCGUAGUUGAAUUUCGAGACCGGCUUAUUGGUCGUGCUUUUGUACGUACUGGUAUAAUCGGUUCCUCCUUUCUGACGAACUAUAAUGCCAUUAAUUUGGUGUUAUAGGGAAUCAGGACUGUUACUUUGAAAAAAU